CUUUUUCUCAGAAGUAAUGCGGCAUUCUGCAGUCCCGCUCCUGCCCAGGUCUCUGUGGUUGAAGCAAAGUCAGCAAACUUUGACUUAAGCAUCAUAGCAUAGUGAUUAGGCACAAGGCUCCAGAUGAAGGUUUUUGAGUUUGAAUUGCAGCUUCAACAUUUAAGAAGUAUACAUCCUCAGAUUCACAGUUGUCAAGAUACAGUCUCCAGAGCUGGGUUUCUAUUGCUGGUGCUCUUGGACCUGCCUAUAAAUAAGGUUCUUGUUUCAGGCUUAUCUGACCAGCUUAACACCUCUCCAUAUAAGUCUUCCUGACUUUCUUCUGUCAGACCGCCCAUUCCCAGUGGGCCUGAUGGAGGAGCUCACGCCGGGAUGUCUGCAGGGAGCUACGCCAUUCAGGAGCGGCUCCCCUCCUACCCUGCACCUGAGUUCACCUCACACAACACAGACGCCUCCCAGCACCCUGGACCCAGUCCCUUCUUGCCUGAUGGAAUUUCUUAUGUAGUUUUGGGGGUGCUUACAGAACCUUCCUUCUUCCUCAUCCAAAAGGGUGCCUUCGAUUCAACUUGGGUAUCAACCAGUUCUCACCUGACAGCUGACCCAGGCGGAGAGAUGAACCAACCACAGUUACUUAAAUAGCAGCACCAUCAUCUGCCAUUGUAUUGUGCCAUAGUUUAUUAACUAGAUCUAUGUUAUAGAGUAUGAGAGCUGCCAGUCUCAUGUAGCUAUUAAGUGCUUGAAAUGUGGCUGGUCUAAUUGAGUAGUGCCGUAUGUGUAAAAUAUACUCUGUAUCUUGAAGACUUAGUACAAAAAAUAAAUGACCUAAUUAAUAUUUCAAUAUUGAUUACAUGUUGAAAU